rnacentral:rRNA from 1 species
AUGCCCCUUCAGUGCUCGCUUUUGUCUUCCCCUGAUGUUCAUUGUCUCAAGGCUACUGGGCUAGGAGUAGUCAUAUGCAAGUUCUGGCUAUCGCCCCUAUCCUCUUUCCUGCAGUCUGUACUUCCUGCUCAAUUUGCAAUGCAUGAUGAGAGAGAUAUGGCGAGGGAGGUGGCGAGGAAGUCGUUGGUGAUCUUGAAGAAUGGCAAGACGCCGAGCGAUGCCCCGCUGCACCAACUGCCCAAGACGCCGAGCGACGCGCAGCUGCUGCCGCUGCCCAAGAAGAUGACAAGCACAAAUGAUGGUUUGAUCUGUGUGUAG